UUGACAGAUGGCCUAGUGCCAUACACAGAAGUAUUUAGUGUGUUGGAUUAGUGGAACGUAGCUAGAACAAGAUAUCCAACAUUAAGGAAGGUCGCCAGAGAUAUUUUUGCUAUUCCCGUGACAACAGUUGCUUCAGAGUCGGCCUUUAGUACAAGUGGCAGAAUACUUAGUGAGCAUAGGAGCCGCCUAACUCCUAAUAUGGUGGAAGUUUUGAUGUGCUCCCAAGAUUGGCUUAGAAACAAACAAAAAGGUGAGCAAAUAAUGUACUUUUUUCAAAUUUAGAAUUUAUUUAUCUAUUGCUAAUCACUAUCUCGUCGUGUGUAUAAUUUUUUUUGUUCUAGAUGCUCGUAAAGGAGAUGCAAUUUUGAACUUACCUUCAAGACAUUCAAGAGGGGAUGCCGGUUGGUACUCACCAACACAUUUCCUUUGCCAAUUGAGUAUUUGACUGUACCUUCUACAAGUGACAACAGUUGCUUCAGAGUCGGUCUUUAGUACAAGUGGCAGAAUACUUAGUGAGCAUAGGAGCCGCCUAACUCCUAAUAUGGUGGAAGUUUUGAUGUGCUCCCAAGAUUGACUUAGAAACAAACAAAAAGAUGCUCAUAAAGGAGAUGCGCUUUUGGACUUGUUUAAGACAUUCAAGAGGGGAUGCCGGAAUUUUGCCCUUUGAGACGUAGAGACAUGGUCUCGUCGAGUUAUGCUCGAGACUGAAGACUUAUUGCGCUACGGUCUUCGUUAUGCUACCGCUGGAUUGCUCGAGUUUAUUUUAGUUGAGCUUGCUACAGUGUCGAAACUUUAUUGUGAUGCUUAAUUUGUGGCCUUAUGUAUGGUCAAAUUGCCCUCAUACUUUGUCGUGAGUUUGUGAACUUAAAAUAAAUGAUUAUGCAUUGCUGUUUA